rnacentral:rRNA from 1 species
AAUCAACGCUGGCGGCGCGCUUAACACAUGCAAGUCGAACGAGAAAGGGGGGCAACCCCCGAGUAAAGUGGCGUACGGGUGAGUAACACGUGGGUAAUCUGCCUCUGGGUGGGGAAUAACUCUGGGAAACCGGAGCUAAUACCGCAUAAGACCGGAAGGUGAAAGGCGAAAGUCGCCGAGAGAGGAGCCCGCGGCUGAUUAGCUGGAUGGUGGGGUAAAGGCUCACCAUGGCAAUGAUCAGUAGCCGGCCUGAGAGGGCACACGGCCACACUGGCACUGAAACACGGGCCAGACUCCUACGGGAGGCAGCAGUGGGGAAUCUUGCACAAUGGGGGAAACCCUGAUGCAGCGACGCCGCGUGAGCGAUGAAGCCCUUCGGGGUGUAAAGCUCUUUCGGCAGGGACGAUGAUGACGGUACCUGAAGAAGAAGCUGCGGCUAACUACGUGCCAGCAGCCGCGGUAAUACGUAGGCAGCGAGCGUUGUUCGGAGUUACUGGGCGU